GUUUAGUCAUGGCUCAGGAUGAACGCUAGCGGCAGGCUUAACACAUGCAAGUCGAGGGGUAACAGAGAAAAGCUUGCUUUUUUGCUGACGACCGGCGCACGGGUGCGUAACGCGUAUACAAUCUGCCUCUUACUGAGGGAUAGCCCAGAGAAAUUUGGAUUAACACCUCAUAGUAUGUUGAUUUGGCAUCAGAUUAGCAUUAAAGGUUACGGUAAGAGAUGAGUAUGCGUUCUAUUAGCUAGUAGGUAUGGUAACGGCAUACCUAGGCGACGAUAGAUAGGGGCCCUGAGAGGGGGAUCCCCCACACUGGUACUGAGACACGGACCAGACUCCUACGGGAGGCAGCAGUGAGGAAUAUUGGUCAAUGGAGGCAACUCUGAACCAGCCAUGCCGCGUGCAGGAAGACUGCCCUAUGGGUUGUAAACUGCUUUUAUACAGGAAGAAACACCUCUACGUGUAGAGGCUUGACGGUACUGUAAGAAUAAGGAUCGGCUAACUCCGUGCCAGCAGCCGCGGUAAUACGGAGGAUCCAAGCGUUAUCCGGAAUCAUUGGGUUUAAAGGGUCCGUAGGUGGAUUAGUAAGUCAGAGGUGAAAUCCUGCAGCUCAACUGUAGAACUGCCUUUGAUACUGCUAGUCUUGAGUCAUUAUAAAGUGGUUAGAAUGUGUAGUGUAGCGGUGAAAUGCAUAGAUAUUAC
rnacentral:rRNA from 1 species